AACGAACGCUGGCGGCAUGCCUAACACAUGCAAGUCGAACGAACCCUUCGGGGUUAGUGGCGCACGGGUGCGUAACGCGUGGGAAUCUGCCCUUUGCUUCGGAAUAACAGUUAGAAAUGACUGCUAAUACCGGAUGAUGUCUUCGGACCAAAGAUUUAUCGGCAAGGGAUGAGCCCGCGUAGGAUUAGGUAGUUGGUGGGGUAAAGGCCUACCAAGCCGACGAUCCUUAGCUGGUCUGAGAGGAUGAUCAGCCACACUGGGACUGAGACACGGCCCAGACUCCGACGGGAGGCAGCAGUGGGGAAUAUUGGACAAUGGGCGCAAGCCUGAUCCAGCAAUGCCGCGUGAGUGAUGAAGGCCUUCGGGUCGUAAAGCUCUUUUACCAGGGAUGAUAAUGACAGUACCUGGAGAAUAAGCUCCGGCUAACUCCGUGCCAGCCGCCGCCGUAA
rnacentral:rRNA from 1 species